GAGGAAUGUAUAGCAAUAGCUACUUGCAUCAUAGUUAAUAUGAUGAAAGCUCGACUAAGUUGAAUAAAAUUCUAGGUAGAAUUAUGAUAAUGACAUUGUCUGCCUAUGUGUCUUGACCAAAUUACGUGCCAGCAGUCGCGGUAAUACGUAGAAGACUAGUGUUAUUCAUGUUUAAUCGGUUUAAAGGGUACCUAGACGGUGAAUCAAGCUUUGGUGUAAAUAAUAAAAGACGAAGCAAAAUUAUCUAAAAUAAAGUGAUAAAAAUAAUUUACAUAUGAUAAGGACUAAUUCACUAGAGUUACUUACGAGGGGGUUUUAAAGUACUGCUGGUGUAGAGAUGAAAUUCUGUCAUACCUCUUUUCGAAAGAAAAAUCAUGGCACAGGUAUAGGCGAAGGCAUCCCCUUAUGUGCUAACUGACGUUGAGGGACGAAGGCUUCAUGUAACAAACAGGAUUAGAUACCCUAUUAGUUGAUAGCAGAAAAUGAUGAAUGUCAUAGAUUAGAUAUAUAAGUUUAUUCUAUAAAUGAAAGUGUAAGCAUUCCACCUCAUGAGUAAUUUGGCAACAUUGGAAUUGAAAUCAUUAGACCGUUUCUGAAACCAGUAGUGAAGUAUGUUGUUUAAUUUGAUAAUACGCAAAAAACCUUACCACAAUUUGAAUAUUUAGAUCUUAUAUUGUUUUUAUCUUAAUUUUCUUAUUAUUUAGAAAAGAAAUAAAGAAUAAGAAAAUUAAGAAUAAGGCAAUAAGAUACAUUUACAAGCGUUGCACGGCUGUCUUCAGUUAAUGUCGUGAGACUUUGGUUAGUUCCAUUAAAUUAACGUAAACCCUUACUUUAUUUUUUAUAUAGAGUAGUUCCCCACUAUAUUGGAUAUGAU
rnacentral:rRNA from 1 species